rnacentral:misc_RNA from 1 species
GAUGAAGAACGCAGCGAAAUGCGAUAAGUAAUGCGAAUUGCAGAAUUCAGUGAAUCAUCGAAUCUUUGAACGCACAUUGCGCCCGCCAGUACUCUGGCGGGCAUGCCUGUCUGAGCGUCAUUUCAACCCUCGCGCCCGGCUUCUGUCGGGGGCGGUGUUGGGGAUCGGCCUCCCGUCUCCGGGCGGCCGUCCCCUAAAUCCAGUGGCGACCGCGCCGUAGCCUCCUCUGCGUAGUAGUGAAACACUCGCGGGCGGAGAGCGGUGUGGCCCGCCGUAAAACCCCCCAACUCUUUCAAGGUUGACCUCAGAUCAGGUAGGAAUACCCGCUGAACUUAAGCAUAUCAAUAAGCGGAGGA